rnacentral:rRNA from 1 species
CGGCACGGGUGCGUAACGCGUGGGAAUCUGCCCUCUGGUACGGAACAACUCAGGGAAACUUGAGCUAAUACCGUAUAAUGACUUCGGUCCAAAGAUUUAUCGCCUGAGGAUGAGCCCGCGUAGGAUUAGCUUGUUGGUGAGGUAAAAGCUCACCAAGGCGACGAUCCUUAGCUGGUCUGAGAGGAUGAUCAGCCACACUGGGACUGAGACACGGACCAG